UGCAGCGCGCCUCUGCCCGGUUUUGGGGUUUUGUUUUUUUUGUUGUUGUUGUUCUGUUUUGUUUUCCAACGAGGGGCCGGGACGGAGUUGGGGGCGCCGCCUGAGCCGGACCCACACCUCCUGCGCCUCGCCCGAGGCCGGGCGCCUGCGGAGUUGCACCUGUCAGACUAGUUCUCCGCUCCCGGCUCGGCCCCGCUGGCUUUGCACAGCCCGAAGGGGCCUGUCCAAGCUUCCAGAGGCCUCCUGCAUCCUUUGGCUUGUGGCCCCUUCCCCGAUCUUCAAAGCCAGCAAUGCUUCAUUUCAGUACACAGCUUCCUC